AUGGAACAGACUGCUUUGCAUUCGUUGACCUGCAACUUCAAGCUCCGCCUUUCCAAUCCCUGCUCUUGCCCUCCGUCUCUUCACCUCAGCUCUUGCAGGUUGCAGCAGAGGCGACCAAUGGCGCAGGACGACCCGGUUGUCUCUGCACAGUGGCUGCAGCAGCACCUAGGGCAGCCCGACAUCAAGAUACUGGAUGCUUCCUGGUACAUGCCACACGAGAGCAGGGACGCAUGGCAAGAAUACCAGGUGGCUCAUAUUCCUGGCGCGCUGUACUUCGACAUCGAUGGAAUUUCUGAUCGGACGACUCAUUUGCCACACAUGCUGCCAUCGGAAGAGGCAUUUGCAGCAGCAGUUUCUGCACUUGGAAUCAGCAACCAUGAUAAGGUUAUUGUUUAUGAUGGGAAGGGGUUCUACAGCGUGCCUCGUGUUUGGUGGAUGUUCAGAAUUCUUGGACAUGAUAAAGUUUGGGUCUUAGAUGGAGGUUUCCCUCAGUGGCAAGCUUCUGGAUUCAAUAUUGGAAGCAGCUGCCCUCAUGAUGCAGUUCUGAAAUCCAAAGCUGCUAAUAGUGCUGUUGAAACAACUUACAAUGGUGAACUGGCAAAUGCUGCCACAUUUCAGACAGAGUUUCGACAUCAGCUAUUGUGGACACUAGAAAAGGUCAAACACAAUGUAGCUGCUAAGGCUCACCAAGUAGUUGAUGCCCGAGUAAAGGGCAGAUUUGAUGGUCUGAUGCCAGAACCAAGGGAAGGAGUAAGAAGUGGGCAUAUACCUGGAACUGUAUGUGUUCCGUUCCCUGAGAUGUCUGAUGGUGCACAAACGCUCCUCCCCGCAGAUGAGCUAUCUAAAAAGUUUGAGCAAGCAGGCAUUUCCCUUGAUGGCCCGAUUGUCCUCACAUGUGCAUCUGGUGUAACUGCCUGCAUACUUGCCCUGGCGCUCUAUAGAAUUGGGAAGCAUGACGUUCCGGUUUACGAUGGAUCUUGGACAGAAUGGGAAGCUCUGCCAGAUGAUGAUUACCCAAUAGUUACUUCCACUGGCUCUUAAAACGAUCAUUCUGAGGUGAUGAAUGCAGGUGUUACAUCCUGCGGGCAUUCAGCACAGAUUGUCAGCGCAAUGAUAUUUCUCUGUGGCAAGCUUUGCACCAACGUCAAUACAAAGCCCGAGGAAAUCAAAUCGAACAUUUCAAAAGGUCCACUCUGUGACCAUGAGGAUGAAACCAUCUCACAUUUGCUCACUGGCUGCAUUUAAAGGG
rnacentral:rRNA from 1 species